rnacentral:SRP_RNA from 1 species
CUUCAGGAACCGUGCGGGCAAAGGUCGCCUAACCCCGCCAGGUCCGGAAGGAAGCAACGGUAAGCGUUUUUUUGCAGCGCCGCGGAGCUCUUGGUGCGG